ACUUUACUCUUUCGGAGUGAGAGCGUACACAGGUGCUGCAUGGCUGUCGUCAGCUCGUGUCGUGAGAUGUUGGGUUAAGUCCCGCAACGAGCGCAACCCUGCAUUCAGUUGCCAUCGGUAAGGCCGGGCACUCUGGAUGGACUGCCGGCGACAAGCCGGAGGAAGGUGGGGACGACGUCAAGUCAUCAUGGCCCUUAUGUCCAGGGCGACACACGUGCUACAAUGGCCGGCACAACGGGAAGCGAAGGGGCGACCCUGAGCGGAUCCCCAUAAAAGCCGGUCCCAGUUCGGAUUGCAGUCUGCAACUCGACUGCAUGAAGUUGGAAUCGCUAGUAAUCGUGGAUCAGCCAAGCCGCGGUGAAUACGUUCCCGGGCCUU
rnacentral:rRNA from 1 species